rnacentral:lncRNA from 1 species
CUUCAUUCCUGCUGUUACCCAUUUAUAACCUUGGGAUGAGCAUCAGCAAAUACUAUGAUAACGAAGAGGAAUAGACACCACCCUCUUUCCUCCUACUCCACCAGUGGAUCAUUACUCACCUGUAUAAGAAACUAGAACAAGUGGCCUGACUUUGGUGAUUUAUACGUGAUUUCCUGUUUCACACGUGUUUGGCAUUUUGGAGCAAGCUAAAGAGCAAUUUGAUUUAGAAGACUAUUCUGUCAGUCAGAUCACACUGGAACAAGUCUUCCUGACCUUUGCUAACCCAGAGAAAUCAUCCAGUGAUGAUGAAAACGAGGUGCCAUGAGAUUCCCUCUAAAAAAAAAAAAAAAAAAAAAAAAAACAGAAAAAGAAAAAAAA